ensembl:lncRNA
UUUUUUUUUUUUUUUUUGUUUUGUUCGUUUGGGUUUGGUUUUUUUUGUUGGGUUGGGGUUUUUUUUUGUUUUCAUUUGAAGUUGCACUUGUCACAUGCAGUUAGCGCGCUGGGCUGCCUGGAAGUCUCCCUUCAGACAUCUCCCAGGUUAGUGCUGCUCCUUCAAUCUGUCCACUGGAAACCAGUUUCUGAAGAAUAGGUGUGUCCUGCAGGGAAAUGGCUCUGUGGCCAUUUACUCUGAAAAUAGAGGUAGGCUGCUUCUGGAAUGGAAAACCCUGCUGUACCCCAGGUGCCAGCAGCCAGCACGCAUCCCGCUGACAGCUUUGGAAAGCACCUGUAGCUGUAGCCUCCCUCAGGGGUGUGGAGGUGUGCUGGCACAGCAGGGAGAAUCAGAGUAAUUCUGUCUUGCCAGGGAGAGUGGAAAAGAGCAGAUACAGAAUCACAGAAUCAUAGAAUAGUAAGGGUUGGAAAGGGUCUUAAGAUCAUCUAGUUCCAACCUCCCCGCCAUGGGCAGGGACACCUCGCACUAAACCAUGUCGCCCAAGGCUCUGUCCAGCCUGGCCUUGAACACUGCCAGGGAUGGAGCAUCCACAACUUCCUUGGGCAACCUGUAAGAAGUGUUUUUUGUCCUAAUAAGCCUGAUAAGCAUAUUUCUGUGAGACUCCCUCCGCUCUUUCAAAACAUAACUAUGCCAUUUUUAUAGGAUUUGAAAACUUUUUUUCUGUAACAGAAGUACGUGGUGCUUUUGAGAAUGAGAUUUUUGGUUCCAGUUUUAUACAGAUAUCUGAAAUACCUUGAUGAAAGGAGGGAAGUAAACCUCACUUGCCAGCACCCACGGUCCUGGGGAGGCUAUGCUCCUGACAGCCACGCUACCCUGCCUGCUGCCCCUCCGCAGAGUCGCUGCUUAUUGUAGCAACUGAGCUAAACAGACACAGGACACUGGGUUAAACAGAGCGAAGGCGUGGGAGGCCUUAGGAGGUGAUUCUGGUUUUUUUUUCAGCGAGCAGGAGAGUUUGGCAGUCCAGGGGUCUGGGGGCCCUUGGGCUGGAUGCCCUGAGAGAGGCCUAUCCUGUGUCAGCCACCAUGAAAACUGUGGACCUGUUGAGGAGUUGGUGCAAAGGUACAGCUCAGGUAAAAUUAGCACUUGGAUGUGGAAGUCAUUUUAUUGGUGUAGUGCCUGUUGUGCAGGGAUUUGCCUUCAUUAUGGUUUGUUUUAUUGGGGUUUUUUGUUUUCAUAUGUAUUGUGAGAGAGCACUUAGCUUGUUUCUCAGUAAAUGAAAACAAAAUCCUUUGUCUAGUUUUAAGCAGACAGAUGUGGCAGUGCAGAGCGUGAGCACACGAAAGCCUGUGCAAUGGUUUCUUGUUCUAUCUAGUACCAUACAAAAGGUCAGUAGUAGCAGCUGGUUUUGCUUUUCCUGUUGAAUCCUAGGUUUUGGAAGAUGCAAAAUGAGUUUUCCCUCAGACUACUUUUUUUUUUUUUUUUCCCUACAAGGCACAGCUCCAACUUACUGCUGCAUUACUAUUCAGACCAAAGAACCAUUCCAAUGGGAGUGUCGCGUUUUAGUGCAAACCUAAUUCAGCAAAUAAGGUUUUAUAUAGACCCCCUGCUUCACUGAGGACCCACCUGGGGGGGGUGGUGUUAAGCUGUUGCAAAGCAGAGCUAGCAGUGGUCAGGCAAGGGUGUGCGCCUAGUUAAAAUCUGUGAUGCCUUUGCACUUUGCGUGGGGCUGAGCUCACUGGCAGAGGCUCAGCGUGGCUGUCAGGCUUUCCAGGGGAGCAAAAGUGCCUGACCUGGCCAUGCUUCACUUCAUGUCCAUGAGUUUCUUUCCAACUGGGACAUGCAAGAGAUCCAGAUCUCCCCACUCCCCUCUCUCGGCAGGUGGAUGGGACUGGUAGGAACAGGAGUAUUGGCUGGCAGCCCAGGAGGGGCGUGGGGGCACUGGGCUUUUCCAUCUUGUUGUGUUCCCAACAUUCAGUUUCAGAAUUUGUCAGUUUACUUAGUAAAGCAUUCAUGCUUAACUAUAUGCAAGAAUAUUUAGGCUUGGUAGUAUCAAAAUUUGUUUACUUGGGGUUCUUGUUAAUUUCUGUGUUUUAAAACAGAAAUUCAGGAAGAGUGUGUUGUACUCAGUUCAUCUUCAGGAAGAGUGUGUUGUACUCAGAUGUGUGUAGGACUCCAAAAUACAGGCAAAAAGACACCACACUUAAAUGUUACUGUGGAAGCCAAAGCUUUAUUUAGUGAUCUAGCAUGGGUGACAUGAGCAUGCUGAGGCUUCAGCCUUUGUUGGGGUGACAAGUUAUGAUUGUUGCUUAGCUCCAAAUGCCAAGAAAUGCAGGGAAAAGUAACAAGUGGCAAGAGGAAACCUCGUGCAAGAGUAAACGCCAUUCAGCUAAGACACUCUGAGUUGUGCCUGUAAACUCUAAGGAGGAGGGUAGGUAGUGACCUGGAAUGUUGUAAUUCCACUGUGUCACGCAAGGAGCAGGAUUAAAAGCAAAACCCCUUAUUUUAACUAGAUGGUGAUUCUGCCUUGUUUUCCUCUCUGGGGCUGUUGUGCCUGUGGUAUCACUAUGGAGGAUCUGGUACGUUCCUUGUGGUCACCAGUGCUGUUUCUCAGCCAUUGCUAAGGGCUGCUGUCAGAAACAUGCCCAAGUUUCUCUUCUCAUGGGGCUGAAGGUGCAUCUGUGACAGUGUUCAUGGCUUAGACUUAUGGGGGAGAUGCCACCAAGUGGGAGGAUAAGUUGUACUGAUGUGGCAGUGACACAGUAAUACCAAAAGCAGUGGGUUUUCAUCUCCUUGGUCUCAUUACUAUCAAUCAAUCAGGUGUAUGUCACCCAAAAGGGACAAAAGAAAUGCUUACGCAGUGACAGCCACAAGUACCAUAUUGAGCCCAUUUAUUACCAGUUUCCCAGACUGCUUAUGAUUUCAAUGGGAAUGUGAGCUGCCAUCAUAGUCCACAAGAAGAUCUGCUUUUUCAUGAAUUUGCCUUUCUCUCUAGUCUAUGAACCACGUGAAAGGCCUCUAAAAACUCAUUGAAGUCAAUGUAGCCAUCUUUGUUGUAGUCUAUGCUGAGGACUAACUUGUCAAGGGAUUCAUCGGUUACAUCAAUGCCCAGGUGAGAAGUGAAGAGUUUCCAUGUGUGACGAAACUCCUCAAGGGAAAUCAGACCUAAAGGAGACAGGCAGAAGGUUGCUUUUUCCAGUGCUGUUUCUCCUCCCUGCAUUCACAAAAGCAUGCACGCACACACCUUUGCUGCAAAGAAGUUACCUGCCUACCAUAGCUUGGGUGUAUGUUUUGAUUUCAUGACUGAAGUACAUUUUCAGGUAAUGAUCUAAUGCUUUCAGCAGCAGAUUUGAGAACAUGUGAGAUAACUGGGAGUGGAAAGGAGAAAAAGCCCCCAAAAGAGCGAAGGCAGUACUGGAGAUGGGCUCUGUGAGAAUUUUUAAUCAAGCUGGGCUGUGUGCACUGUCCCUUAUAUGGUUACAGCCUGACUGCUUAAAUUAGUCUUCACUAAACUGGAAAAAUGACAUCACCUCUGGUUCCUCUAUAUUUGGAAGCCUUAAGGAGGAGACACAGUGGGGAAAAGUGACUGGUACAGGUUUUCUAGAACUGGCAUGGUGAGGUUACCUAGACCUACCUGAGUGAUCUUUGUCAAUGAUAUUAAAGAUGAUCUC